UACGUAGGGUGCAGGCGUUAAUCGGAAUUACUGGGCGUAAAGCGUGCGCAGGCGGUUUGCUAAGACAGGUGUGAAAUCCCCGGGCUUAACCUGGGAACUGCGCUUGUUACUGGCAAGCUUGAGUGUGGGAGAGGGAUGUGGAAUUCCAGGUGUAGCAGUGAAAUGCGUAGAGAUGUGGAGGAACACCGAUGGCGAAGGCAGCCCCCUGGGCUAACACUGACGCUCAUGCACGAAAGCGAGGGGAGCAAACAGG
rnacentral:rRNA from 1 species